rnacentral:rRNA from 1 species
CGGACGGGUGAGUAACGCGUGGGUAACCUGCCUUAUACAAGGGGAUAACAGAGGGAAACUUCUGCUAAUACCGUAUAAAAAUAUUUCACGCAUGUGAGAUAUUUGAAAGAUUUAUCAGUAUAAGAUGGACCCGCGUCUGAUUAGGUAGUUGGUGAGGUAGAGGCUCACCAAGCCGACGAUCGGUAGCCGAUCUGAGAGGAUGACCGGCCACAUUGGGACUGAGACACGGCCCAA